rnacentral:rRNA from 1 species
GACGAACGCUGGCGGCGCGCUUAACACAUGCAAGUCGAACGGAAAGGCCUGCUUUCCCUUGUGGAUUGCGGGUACUCGAGUGGCGAACGGGUGAGUAACACGUGAGUGAUCUGCCCCCAACUUGGGUAUAAGCCUGGGAAACUGGGUCUAAUUCCCGAUAGGACUGCAGGGUGGUGCCUGUGGUGGAAAACGAUUUUCUAGUGGUUGGGGAUGAGCUCGCGGCCUAUCAGCUUGUUGGUGGGGUAAUGGCCUACCAAGGCGGCGACGGGUAGCCGGCCUGGGAGGGUGGACGGCCACAUUGGGACUGAGAUACGGCCCAGACUCCUACGGGAGGCAGCAGUGGGGAAUAUUGCACAAUGGGCGGAAGCCUGAUGCAGCGACGCCGCGUGGGGGAUGACGGCCUUCGGGUUGUAAACUCCUUUCGACCGCGAGGAAGCCACCUGGUUGGAAGGGUGGUGACGGUAGUGUUAGAAGAAGCACCGGCUAACUACGUG